rnacentral:rRNA from 1 species
CCUACGGGAGACAGCAGUGGGGGAUAUUGCACAAUGGGGGUAACCCUGAUGCAGCGACGCCGCGUGGGUGAAGAAGCGCCUCGGCGCUUUAAGCCCUGUCAGCCGGGAAGAAACUGACGGUACCUGAAGACGAAGCCACGGCUAACUACGUGCCAGCAGCCGCGGUAAUACGUAGGGAGCAAGCGUUAUCCGGAUUUACUGGGUGUAAAGGGGGCGCAGACGGCGAUGCAAGCCAGGAGUGAAAGCCCGGGGCCCAACCCCGGGACUGCUCUUGGAACUGCGUGGCUGGAGUGCAGGAGGGGCAGGCGGAAUGCGUGGUGUAGCGGUGAAAUGCGUAGAUAUCAGGAGGAACACCGGUGGCGAAGGCGGCCUGCUGGACUGCAACUGACGUUGAGGCACGAAAGCGUGGGGAGCAAACAGGAUUAGAUACCCUAGUAGUC